AGGAAAUGCGUGGUACAAGAAGAAGCUGCUAACUUCUAUCUCUAGCGGUUAAACUCCGUUUUCAU
rnacentral:tRNA from 1 species